AGCAGCCGCGGUAAUUCCAGCUCCAAUAGCGUAUAUUAAAGUUGCUGCAGUUAAAAAGCUCGUAGUUGAAUUUCGGGAUCAAUAUGUUGGUCGUGCCUCGGUACGUACUAGCUUAUUGGUUUCUCCCUUCUGACGAACCAUGAUGUCAUUUAUUUGGUGUUAUGGGGAAUCAGGACUGUUACUUUGAAAAAAUUAGAGUGUUUAAAGCAGGCUUACGCUUGAAUACAUUAGCAUGGAAUAAUGAAAUAGGACGUUUGAUUCUAUUUUGUUGGUUUCUAGGAUCGACGUAAUGAUUAAUAGGGAUAGUUGGGGGCAUUAGUAUUCAAUUGUCAGAGGUGAAAUUCUUGGAUUUAUUGAAGAUUAACUACUGCGAAAGCAUUUGCCAAGGAUGUUUUCAUUAAUCAAGAACGAAAGUUAGGGGAUCGAAGACGAUCAGAUACCGUCGUAGUCUUAACCAUAAACUAUAGCCGACUAGGGAUCGGAUGAUGUAAUUUUUUAAUGUACUCAUUCGGCGCCUUAA
rnacentral:rRNA from 1 species